CUAUAGCCAGCUAAACCAACUGUGCUCUUUUUCUGCAUGAGGGCCUAGUGUGCAGUGGCUGCAAACAGCAUUCUCGGUAGUGUGUGCAGCCUGUUGCUUGUAUGAGUUGCCCUAAGGGACCUUGGAGACGGCC